rfam:Picea glauca, whole genome shotgun sequence.
GUAAAGGUGUCUUUAGACACCACCUUUGUUUUCAAAUUUUUGUUC